GAACGCUGGCGGCAUGCCUUACACAUGCAAGUCGAACGGCAGCACGGGAGCAAUCCUGGUGGCGAGUGGCGAACGGGUGAGUAAUACAUCGGAACGUGCCCAGUUGUGGGGGAUAGCCCGGCGAAAGCCGGAUUAAUACCGCAUACGACCUACGGGUGAAAGCGGGGGAUCGCAAGACCUCGCGCAAUUGGAGCGGCCGAUGGCAGAUUAGCUUGUUGGUGGGGUAAAAGCCUACCAAGGCGACGAUCUGUAGCUGGUCUGAGAGGACGACCAGCCACACUGGGACUGAGACACGGCCCAGACUCCUACGGGAGGCAGCAGUGGGGAAUUUUGGACAAUGGGAGCAAGCCUGAUCCAGCCAUGCCGCGUGUGGGAAGAAGGCCUUCGGGUUGUAAACCACUUUUGUCAGGGAAGAAACGGUCUGAUCUAAUAAAUCGGACUAAUGACGGUACCUGAAGAAUAAGCACCGGCUAACUACGUGCCAGCAGCCGCGGUAAUACGUAGGGUGCAAGCGUUAAUCGGAAUUACUGGGCGUAAAGCGUGCGCAGGCGGCUAUGCAAGACAGAUGUGAAAUCCCCGGGCUCAACCUGGGAACUGCAUUUGUGACUGCAUGGCUAGAGUACGGCAGAGGGGGAUGGAAUUCCGCGUGUAGCAGUGAAAUGCGUAGAUAUGCGGAGGAACACCGAUGGCGAAGGCAAUCCCCUGGGCCUGUACUGACGCUCAUGCACGAAAGCGUGGGGAGCAAACAGGAUUAGAUACCCUGGUAGUCCACGCCCUAAACGAUGUCAACUGGUUGUUGGACGGCUUGCUGUUCAGUAACGAAGCUAACGCGUGAAGUUGACCGCCUGGGGAGUACGGCCGCAAGGUUGAAACUCAAAGGAAUUGACGGGGACUCGCACAAGCGGUGGAUGAUGUGGUUUAAUUCGAUGCAACGCGAAAAACCUUACCUACCCUUGACAUGUCUAGAAGUUUCCAGAGAUGGAUUCGUGCUCGAAAGAGAACUAGAACACAGGUGCUGCAUGGCCGUCGUCAGCUCGUGUCGUGAGAUGUUGGGUUAAGUCCCGCAACGAGCGCAACCCUUAUCAUUAGUUGCUACGCAAGGGCACUCUAAUGAGACUGCCGGUGACAAACCGGAGGAAGGUGGGGAUGACGUCAGGUCAUCAUGGCCCUUAUGGGUAGGGCUACACACGUCAUACAAUGGCCGGUACAGAGGGCUGCCAACUCGCGAGAGGGAGCUAAUCUCAGAAAACCGGUCGUAGUCCGGAUCGCAGUCUGCAACUCGACUGCGUGAAGUCGGAAUCGCUAGUAAUCGCGGAUCAGCUUGCCGCGGUGAAUACGUUCCCGGGUCUUGUACACACCGCCCGUCACACCAUGGGAGCGGGUUCUGCCAGAAGUAGUUAGCCUAACCGCAAGGAGGGCGAUUACCACGGCAGGGUUCGUGACUGGGGUGAAGUCGUAACAAGGUA
rnacentral:rRNA from 1 species